AGCGAACGCUGGCGGCGUGGUUAAGGCAUGCAAGUCGAGCGAUCCCGCAGCAAUGCGGGAUAGCGGCAAACGGGUGAGUAACGCGUAGGUAACCUACCCUGAAGUGUGGGACAACCCUGCGAAAGCGGGGCUAAUACCACAUGCGCUCGCAGACUGCAUGGUCUGCGAGGAAAGAUGGCCUCGACCGAAAGGUUGCUAUCACUUUAGGAGGGACCUGCCGCCCAUCAGCUAGUUGGUAGGGUAACGGCCUACCAAGGCAUAUGACGGGUAGCUAGCCUUAGAGGGCGGUUAGCCACACUGGGACUGAGACACUCGCCCAGACUCCUACGGGAGGCUGCAGUCGAGAAUUAUUUGGCAA
rnacentral:rRNA from 1 species